rnacentral:rRNA from 1 species
CCUACGGGGGGCAGCAGUGGGGAAUAUUGGGCAAUGGAGGAAACUCUGACCCAGCAACGCCGCGUGAAGGAUGAAGGUUUUCGGAUUGUAAACUUCUGUCGCGAGGGAUGAAGAAUGACGGUACCUCGUAAGAAAGCCCAGGCAAACUACGUGCCAGCAGCCGCGGUAAUCCGUAGGGUGCGAGCGUUGUCCGGAAUGACUGGGCGAAAAGGGAGUGUAGGCGGCAUAUUAAGUUACAUGUGAAGGCGCGCGGCUCCACCGCGGAAUUGCACAUUAUACUGGUAAGCUGGAGGGCAGGAGAGGUAAGUAGAAUUCCCGGUGUAGCGGGGGAAUGCGUAGAUAUCGGGAGGAACACCAGAGGCGAAGGCGACUUACUGGACUGUAACUGACGCUGAGGCUCGAAAGCGUGGGGAGCAAACAGGAUUAGAUACCCGUGUAGUC